rnacentral:lncRNA from 1 species
CUUUGGGGAGGUGAGGAACGAUUGUACUGAAUGAAGAGGUGAUCUAAGGUCAGCAUUAAAUAGAUGUGUUGCUUUUCCCAGAGUCGGCUGAAAAGAUCAAGUGACUUCCUCUACUGAAAAGUUACAAUUCGAUAAUUAACAGAAUUUCCUCACAGCUUUAUAGGCUUCAACUCUUAUUCUCUGAAGUGCUGACCUCAUUGCCUCCUCUCCUCUCCAGGAAGCAGCAGUCAGAAAUUGGAAUUUCAGAGGGGCUGGCAGAGUUGCAAUGUACCUGAGACACUAGGGAAGAAAACUAACCUUCCAGUAACAGAAGGUGGAUCAGUGGUGACCUAGGGCUGGGGAGAAUGACUGCAAACGGAGAGGAAAUUUAUUCUGGUAAGAAAAUGUUCUUUACUUUGAUUGGGGGUGGUGGUUACAUGGGUGUACACGUUCAUCAAAGAUCAUUGAACUCUACAGUAAAAAUGGCUACACUUAAUUAUAGUAAAUUAUAAUUUCAUUAAGUUGAUCAGAAAGAAAAAACGUCCCAAUGAAGCGACAGACAAAAGUCACCACACCAGUGUCUGUCUUAAUAUUUGAAUAUGCACUAAAUUUCUAGGUUUCUAUUUGUUUCAUACCACAUGUCAGGGGGGCAAGUUUACAUCUAAAUAAAUGGCUUAAUGAGUUAAAUUAUAAUAGAGGAAGAUAUUUUUAUAUAUAUAUACUUUUUUAUUUUUAGAGAUAGGGUCUUGCUCUGUCACCCAGCGUGGAGUGCAGUAGUGCAAUUAUAGCUCAUUGCAGCCUAAAAGAGGAAGAUAUAACAAAAUUAUUCAAGAAAUGAAUAAAAGCCUAUGGUAUGAGUGCUUUCCAACUGAGUGAUUAACUUUUGAUAUGCUAUUUUGUCUUUGUUUGAAUCGUGAGUUGUGAAGUGUUUAGAAAAAUCUGUCAAGUACACAAGUCUGCUUUUUUGGUAGUUGGAUCAAAAUAUUAAAUCUCUUAUCAAAUGUUUAAGAAAAUGUGAUUAAUAAAAUAUGUAAAUGGUAUUAAAUGUUCAGGAUAAUUGGAAUUUACAAAUUGUUAAAGAAAUGGGAAUGUAAUUUCUCAUUUUUAUCAAAUUUACUGUUCUUAUAUCUUCAAGUUGAGCUUAGAGAUUUAAAAAUGCUGUAUUUUAAAUGUAUUUUAAUAAAGCAAAUAUUAAAACAAGUAUUUAUAAGUAUUUUUCUUCCCAUACCAAAAGCCUGCUUUGACAGUAAAGCUUGUUGACACAUGGUUCAAACACUUCCUUCCUGCCUUUAAAAAAUUUAUUCUGCUUUUCAAGGAAGGUAUGUUUCUAUUUUAUCUACAAACCUUGUAGACUGGCCUUAUGGUUUUAGCAAUAUAAAAACACACAAAGUGAUGCAUUUUUUAAAUGAAAUUAUUUAACAACACAAUGUAUUUUACCACUCUUACAAAGAUAACUUACAGUAAAUAAUGUUAACGAUGUUAGUUUUACUUAUACGAUUUUUCUGUGUACCCUCUAUCUCUACUUCACCUCAAUGUCUUUCACCCUCCAAUUUUAAGGUGAAAAUAUCUAGGCUUCUGCCCUCUGCAACUGAUUUCUAUUGAGGGCCUAUGGAGGUAAAAUGACAAUAAUCAUUGAAUCUAGAAAGAAAAAGCAUCAAGCACAAUUUACAUGAACAAUAGUUUCAGUUGACAUUUAACUGAAUGCUUCUAACUUAUUUAAUCUUAUUAGAUAGGCAGUGUUUUAAUCAAUUUACAGAUGGAGAAACCAGGGAUGGUGCAACUUGCAAGUGGCAGAGCCCUGUUUAUCUCCAAAGUUCCUGUUCCUCUGAGAUGAAGUUAUAGAUUAACCUAAGUUUGUCCUUUCUUGAUGUAACCAACUAAUAUCUUUGAGGAUCUUUUUUCUUUUACCCAGAGUGCUGUGUUAAGUGCUGAGUAUACAGAUUCAUUCAACCCUCUAACCAGUCCUUGUAGUACUGAUUCAUCUGUGGUCAAAAUCUGGGGUACUGGUGGGUUUUGUUUCCAAAGGGUUAUGACUUUGAGUGACUAAAAAAAGAUAGUUUAUCCUUGAUGUAGGGACCAUCUUUGAUUUCUCAUUACUUCCCCUUUUGACCCCUCCAAAGCACUUAGCAAAUGUCAGCUAAUGAAUAAAUGAUAAAAAAAUGGUUGGCCAAAAAGACAGCAUCAGAAGAGAAUUUUUACCUAGUGCAGUGCUUAGCACCUAUCAGGGAUUUAUUAAACAUAUAUGGAAGAGAAUGACAUUUCUGCCAUUUUAUUAAUAAAUUCAACAAAGUAUUUAUUGAACUUUAACCAUGGCUUGGGCAUUUGUUAAGGAUGAGUGGUUUAAUACAAUGAUGAUUCAGACACGGUCUCUACUUCCAAGGAAUCUGGCAUCUCAAAUAGGUAAGACACACAUAAAAGUAAUAGGUGAUAGCAGUAAGUGCUGAAAUAAGACUGUCAUUCAAGUGUUGUGAAUUUGAAGAAGUUGGGAAGAUCAGGAAUGCAAAUUUCUUCCCCCUUGUCUUAGUCCAUUUGUACUGCCUUAACAAAGUAUCUUCAACUGGGUAAUCUAUAAAUAAUAGAAAUUUAUUUUCUUACAGCUCUGGAGGCUGGGAAGUCACGGUUAAGCACCAGUUGGUUUGGUGUCUGCUGAGUCCCCAGUUGCUGCUUUCAAGAUGGUACCUUGUUGCUGGGUCCUCACGUUAGAAGGGACAGAAGGGGCUGGGCAUGGUGGCUCACACCUAUAAUCCCAGCACUUUGGGAGGCCGAGGCAGGCAGAUCAUGAGGUCAGGAGAUCAAGACCAUCCUGGCUAACACGGUGAAACCCCAUCUCUACUAAAAAUAUAAAAAAUUAGCCGGGCGUGGUGGUGGCGGGCACCUGUAGUCCCAGCUACUCGGGAGGCUGAGGCAGGAGAAUGGCGUGAACCCGGGAGGUGGAGCUUGCAGUGAACCAAGAUCACGCCACUGCACUCCAGCCUGGGGCAACAGAGCAAGACUCCAUCUCAAAAAAAAAAAAAAAAAAAGGGACAGGAGACAGAAGGGCUGAACAGCUGCCUCACACCUCUUUUUAAGUCAUUAAUCCCAGAGCCCUCAUGACUUAAUCACUUCCUCAAGGCCCCACCUCUACAUACUAUCUCACUGGCAAAUACAUUUCCACAUUUGAAUUUUGGAGGACACAUUCAGACCACUGCACCCCUCAAGUUGGUUAGUGUCUUUGAAUAUCUUUUUUCAUGCUGUGACAAUCUCAUGGUUUCAAACUUUUCUUCUAUCUGUGUUAAUCCCAAAUAUCUUUGUUCUCAGUCAUCUCCCUAGUUUCCAUCUUUCUCCCAGACCUCCUCUCUACAUAAAUAACCUGCAUGCACUGUAAAAUCCAUGUAUCAAAAAACUGAACUUGUGUAAUUCUCUUCCAAAUCUGUCCCCAGCUUCUAGAAGAUGGGAGGAAAACAUGAUACAAGGGUAUAAGGAAAUUCACUCAGUACUGCAGAGACAGCAUGGAAGACAAAGACUCAGUCUCUGUGUUUCUGAAAGGUCUUCUCGAACCAUAUCCACCCACUUCUCAAUUUCUACCACAAAAGUAGAAAACGUAACCUUGAUUUUCACUUUCUGUCCUGUAACUAUAAAAGUCAUCUGUAGAAGGUAAUUUGGGUCCUCACUUCCAUAAAUAUUCUCUGACUUCCUCUAAUAGAAAGUAGGAGAAUGUGGCAGUACUGUAUAUUACAAUGUUAGGACUACUUAACAUAACGCUGCUUUAAAAGACCAGAAUUUGAGACGGGUGAAAGGGCAGGGGCAAGUUUGAUUAUUCCUAACAUCUAUGAGGAAGCCUCUGUCUUCCCCAUAGGAAGCUGUCCUUUCUUCUCUAUUAGUUAUAUAGGAAUAAGAAUCUAGAGGAAGCUUUAAACAUUCAUAUUGGAGUUAAGAAUUAAAGACACUGAGAUGAUUAGUGUGUGGAUAACCUGAAAUACUUUAUGGCUCAUUCACCAUUUCAACAUCAACAAGAGGAGAACACCACAAAUACGGCAAACUGUCUAGCUGCUCAAGAAAAUGGUGCCCCCUUCCUCCCAGGCACACAGCUGGACACAUUUCCCAAAAUCUCUCUAGGUGGGCCAUGUGACGGAGUUCUGUCCAAAGGAACAUGGGCGGAAGAGAUAUGCACCACUUCCAGGCCUGACCCAGAAACAUUUUCCACACAGACUUUUCCUUCUUUUCCUAUGUGCUCUUUCAACAAAGAGGGCUCUAUGGACUGAGAGAAAGGCAGAGCCCCAAGAGGAAGGAGCCUGGGUCGCAGAAAGACUAGGUGGAAAGCUGUCCACUGACCACAAACAUCCACAUGGGACAUCAUAUGAGAGAGAAAUAAACCUGGGAAUAGUUACUUAACUUCUUUGGGUCCUAGUCUCUGGGCAAAGAGGAAAAGCUCAAUAAAUAUCAGCUGACAUUAUAUUAGGAAAUAAAGUUUACUUCUCCUUAAUUUCUUUUUCUUAGGCAAGGCGGAGCACCGGGGGUGAGUGGGAUUGGUGAAAAGCACUAAAUGACAUUUGCCUAUUACAAAAUGCUAAUUGGUACAUUUAAAUAAGAUGACAUUGUGACAAUAACUCACAGAUUAAAGACAUUUUCUUCUGGAUCCCAGACAUUAGAUUUUAAGACUGAUUUCUUGCUAAAAACACUCAAAUCUAGUUAAAAUGUGAAAUAUAAACAGAAUGUGGUACCCACUUCUUUCCCCCUGUGACACUGAGUGUCCGGGGAUGUUCUAAAACACAAUUAACAAUCCACAUCAUUUCUGUGGCUUCAAAUUGGCACAAAAUCUGUACAAAGAAUACUUUGUGCUGCUAUAAUACUCAACUGAUACAGUUUAAUUAUGAUCA